rnacentral:rRNA from 1 species
UACGUAGGAGGCAAGCGUUGUCCGGAGUUACUGGGCGUAAAGCGCACGCAGGCGGUUCAUUCAGUCUGUAGGGACAGGGCACAGCUCAACUGUGUCAGGCUUACGGAAACUGCUGAACUUGAGGGCUUCAGAGGGAUGGGGAAUUCCGGGUGGAGUGGUGAAAUGCGUAGAUAUCUGGAAGAACACCAAAGGCGAAGGCAGUGUCCUGGGUGGUCGCUGACGCUGAGAGGCGAAAGCCAGGGGAGCGAACGGG